AACGCACCUUGCGCUCCUUGGUAUUCCGAGGAGCAUGCCUGUUUGAGUGUCAUUAAAUUCUCAACCUUUUCAGCUUUUUUACAAAGUUGAAUAGGCUUGGAUAUGGGGGUUGCGGGCUUCUCAGAAGUCGGCUCCUCUUAAAUGCAUUAGCAAAAUCUUUGUGGACCAGCUCUGGUGUGAUAAUUAUCUACGCCUUUGCCUGUUAACACAUCUUUAUAGGAUUUAGCUUCUAACCGUCCAUUGACUUGGACAAUUUCUGACAUUUUGACCUCAAAUCAGGUAGGACUACCCGCUGAACUUAA
rnacentral:misc_RNA from 1 species